rnacentral:lncRNA from 1 species
UGUGCCUUCUCUCCAGUGUUUGUCUGAAGAGACUUCCAAAAGAGGUACCAAAGGAAGCCGAACCCAUCCCCUGGCCUCAGAGGGGUCAGAGGUUGGGAGGGACACGCUGGUCUGAGGAUGGACGCAGGAGCGCACUCCCCCGGCUCCCUCUCUGGUGAGACCCCUCCCCACUGGCACCCCACCCGCGGGAAGCAGAGCCAACACUAUCACACCCCACUGGUCCCAGGCCAGCUGCCCAGCCCGAUGCCCUGCCCUUCCUUUCUCAGGGCUGACAGGCUUUCUGGGCUGGAGUUCCUCAUCUGUGAAGUGGGGGUUAUGUUACCAACCUCAGAGGGCUGUGAAAAUGGGACGGUGUCUGUGAACUCCCUCACAUACUGCCUGGCCCUUAGCAGAGCUCCUCGAAAUGUCAGUUCUUUGCUGCCCGGAGCCAGGCUCCUGGUAAUGACCAGGGAGAGAGCCUGCCCUUGACCAAGGAGUGAAAAACUGACCUCAAAAUGUCAGUUCUUUGCUGCCCACUCCAGCCUCCACCCGCUUCUCACAAUCAUUCCCUGAGCGCGCAGCAGCUCACACGGAACAGAGUUCACACGGACUCAUCGAAGUGCCCGUCAUUGGGCAUCCCUCUCCUCCUUGCGUCUGUUUCCUUAUGUGUAAAGUGGGGGCAGGACCACUUCUGAGGACCCAGUUCUCUGAGCACUGGGGAUGAGGUGGGCUCCUGGCCCAGCCACCCCUCUCCCUGCCAGUGAUGCCAGAGACCCCAAAGGCAGAGUGCUCUGUUCUGCUGUUCAGCUACAAACAGCCAAUCCCUCCCUUCACCCUGUGUGUCCCACCCCCGCUCCCCAACCACCCAAGGACUCCUGCACAAAGAACUGUGGUCCAAACCCCCAAGUCAGCUGGGACCAGGUGAUUUUGGUAGCCCUGCAUCCUGGCUUCCAUCCACCCCAGCCUCUGUCUCAGCCUUUGCACCACCAUCCCAGACAGGCAUCCACCUUCUGUCUCUGGCCCUGCUUCUACCCCCACUCCACCUGCCCUCAUGUCUGCCUUCCCCUUCUGCACCCCUGCUGGGCUCCUGAGGAACAGGAUGGAAGGAGAGUGUGUCCCCUACCCCCAGCUUCCAGUCUCAGGAGGGUCAGAACAGACAAUACAGGUCAAAGCAGCAAGGCUAAGGGUGACAGGUACACAACGCUGCAGCCCCCAGAUCUAGAGACAAGAUUAGGAUUUCGGUCAGAGGGGGAUGAAGCACACACCAUCCCCACUCCCACCCAGCACCACCAUCCUUCCCCUUCCUCCUCCUGGGUCAGGGUCGAAAAGUGGAGAAUCCCCAGAAAUCCUUUAGAGUCCUCUGAUGAAGCCUCCCGAGUCCUGCCUUCGAGCCAGUGGGGAGGGGGAGAGGAGGAUGAUUACAGGGCGGCCCCCCCAGGGGCAUCUCAAGACACUCCCAGGACAGCAUGGACAGGCAUGGACCCUCCUGCCCUGUGGCUCCUGCCAGGACCCCUCCCCUGAGCUGCCCAGUGGGUGAAAGUGGGCAGUGGAGAAAGAAAGUCCAGGGUCAAACGGGAAGGUGGCACCCCCUACCAGCAGAAGCCCAGAAACACGAGCAGAGCCAGGGGCCCCUGCAGGGCUGCUGUGCCCCUUCUCUCUUCCCAAAUAGGAGUGAGCACACCUGGACCUCUGAGAGGGCAGGAGGGUGGCUCCUCUCCACUCCACGGACAAACAGGAGUGGCCUGGCUACAUAAAUGUGUGCCAUCCUCACUGCUACCUUUGGAAUAGCAACUUCGAAAGGGAACCACCCUUUGGGAAAGACCAAGGGUCCCAGGCCUGCCCCGCCUAUCACUCCAAAGCUCCUCCUUGGCAGUACCCGCCCCCCACCCCUCUGCUACAGUGGGGGUGACCUCCCACUGUCAGACAGUGGAAGGGGCUGCUUGUCAGAAGGACAGGCCUUCCGUCUCCACUCUUUGCCCCUGACUGGAAUACAAGAGUUCUGUGGCCCUUCACAUUGUCACAGGGCUAUCGCUGCUGCUCAGGCCCUGGGGACCCGCCAGAGUGGGACACCGUGCUCCAACACAGUAUCCAGGUCGUCAUCCAGUGUCAGCAACACCAGGAAGGACCCGAACAUGGCGAUGGAGGAGAGGAAGUGCCAGAUGUCGUGGUCGUCAAAGAAGUCGAGGAGGAUGCAGUCCCGGUUGUGCUCCCUCGACUCUGCAGGGGUUUUCUUGGGGAGCAACAAGAAAAACUGCCGAAUGACCCUGCUCUGGCAGGGCAAGGGCCAGACCCAUCUGCCAUCUUGCUCCUGGGCACCCCUCUCUCCAGCCCCAGGCAGGACAGCAGCAAUUCUGACCUGUCCCUUGUCCUUGUCCCUACCCCUUCCCGAUCUAACAAAUGGCCUUUGGUUACAAACUUC